ACCAGUAUGGACCAGUAUGGACCAGUAUAGACCAGUAUGGACCAGUAGAAACCAGUAUAGACCAAUAGGGACCAGUAUGGGCCGCUACGGACCCAUAGUGGUCAAUAGAGACCCAUAGGAACCAAUAGAAGAUCCCAGGAGAACCCAUUGUCCAACCCCUUCCAACCCCUUCCAACACCAGUAUGGACCAGUAUAAACCAGUAUAAACCAGUAUGGACCAGUAUAGACCAGUAUAGACCAGUAUAGACCAGUAUGGACCAGUAUGGGCCGCUACGGACCCAUAGGGGUCAAUAGAGAGCCAUAGGAACCAAUAGAAGAUCCCAGGAGAACCCAUUGUCCAACCCAUUCCAAUCCCUACCAACACCAGUAUGGACCAGUAUAAACCAGUAUAGACCAAUAGGGACCCAUAGUGGUCAAUAGAGGCCCAUAGGAACCAAUAGAAGAUCCCAGGAGAGCCCAUUGUCCAACCCAUUCCAACACCAGUAUGGACCAGUAUGGACCAGUAUAGACCAGUAUGGACCAGUAUAGACCAGUAUAGAGCAGUAUAGACCAGUAUGGACCAGUAUAAACCAGUAUGGACCAGUAGAAACCAGUAUAGACCAAUAGGGACCCAUAGGGAUCCAUAGAGAGCCAUAGGAACCAAUAGAAGAUCCCAGGAGAGCCCAUUGUCCAACCCCUUCUCACACCAGUAUGGACCAGUAUAGACCAGUAUAGACCAGUAUAGACCAGUAAGGACCAGUAUAGACCAGUAUAAACCAGUAUAGAACAGUAUGGACCACUACGGACACAUAGAGGUCAAUAGAGGCCCAUAGGAACCAAUAGAAGAUCCCAGGAGAACCCAUUGUCCAACCCCUUCCAACCCCUUCCAACACCAGUAUGGACCAGUAUAAACCAGUAUAAACCAGUAUGGACCAGUAUAGACCAGUAUACACCAGUAUGGACCAGUACGGACCAGUAGAAACCAGUAUGGACCAAUAGGGACCCAUAGUGGUCAAUAGAGGCCCAUAGGAAGCAGUAGAAGAUCCCAGGAGAACCCAUUGUUGCACCCCUAUCAAACACCAGUAUGGACCAGUAUGGAC
ensembl:lncRNA